CUAAACACAUGCAAGUCGAACGAUGAACCUCUUCGGAGGGGAUUAGUGGCGAACGGGUGAGUAACACGUGGGCAAUCUGCCCUGCACUCUGGGACAAGCCCUGGAAACGGGGUCUAAUACCGGAUACGACCAUNUCGGGCAUCCGAUGGUGGUGGAAAGCUCCGGCGGUGCAGGAUGAGCCCGCGGCCUAUCAGCUUGUUGGUGGGGUGAUGGCCUACCAAGGCGACGACGGGUAGCCGGCCUGAGAGGGCGACCGGCCACACUGGGACUGAGACACGGCCCAGACUCCUACGGGAGGCAGCAGUGGGGAAUAUUGCACAAUGGGCGGAAGCCUGAUGCAGCGACGCCGCGUGAGGGAUGACGGCCUUCGGGUUGUAAACCUCUUUCAGCAGGGAAGAAGCGCAAGUGACGGUACCUGCAGAAGAAGCACCGGCUAACUACGUGCCAGCAGCCGCGGUAAUACGUAGGGUGCGAGCGUUGUCCGGAAUUAUUGGGCGUAAAGAGCUCGUAGGCGGCUUGUCGCGUCGGAUGUGAAAGCCCGGGGCUUAACCCCGGGUCUGCAUUCGAUACGGGCAGGCUAGAGUUCGGUAGGGGAGAUCG
rnacentral:rRNA from 1 species